GGUUUUUAGACAUUAUUAAAAAUCAAACCUGCUCAAUGCUUAGUAAAUAGCCGCGGUAUCCUGACCGUGCAAAGGUAGCAUAAUCAUUAGCCUUAUAAUUGAAGGCUGGAAUGAAUGGUUGAACUAAAUUAUAUUGUCUCAUAAUAAUACCUUGAAAUUUAUAUUUUAGUAAAAAAGCUAAAAUAUUCUUUAGGGACAAGAAGACCCUAUUGAACUUUAUAAAAUAAAAUUAUUUUUCAUAAAAUAAUUCUUAUUUAUUUUACUGGGGCAGUAAGAAAAAUAAUUUUUCUUUAACAUUGUGAAUUAUAAUUCUUGUUAAACCAAAAACUUUUUAAAAAAAAAUAAGUUACCGUAGGGAUAACAGCGUAAUUUUUCUUUAGAGAACUUAUCAACAGAAAAGUUUGCGACCUCGAUGUUGGAUUAAGAACCCUAUUUUACGCAACAGUAAAAAAAGGAAGUCUGUUCGACUUUUAAUUUCUUCCA
rnacentral:rRNA from 1 species